rnacentral:rRNA from 2 species
GGGUUGUGAGGUUAAGCGACCAAGCGUACACGGUGGAUGCCCUGGCAGUCAGAGGCGAUGAAGGACGUGCUAAUCUGCGAUAAGCGCCGGUAAGGUGAUAUGAACCGUUAUAACCGGCGAUUUCCGAAUGGGGAAACCCAGUGUGAUUCGUCACACUAUCAUUAACUGAAUCCAUAGGUUAAUGAAGCGAACCGGGGGAACUGAAACAUCUAAGUACCCCGAGGAAAAGAAAUCAACCGAGAUUCCCCCAGUAGCGGCGAGCGAACGGGGAGGAGCCCAGAGCCUGAAUCAGCAUGUGUGUUAGUGGAAGCGUCUGGAAAGGCGCGCGAUACAGGGUGACAGCCCCGUACACAAAAGCGCAUGUGCUGUGAGCUCGAUGAGUAGGGCGGGACACGUGGUAUCCUGUCUGAAUAUGGGGGGACCAUCCUCCAAGGCUAAAUACUCCUGACUGACCGAUAGUGAACCAGUACCGUGAGGGAAAGGCGAAAAGAACCCCGGCGAGGGGAGUGAAACAGAACCUGAAACCGUGUACGUACAAGCAGUGGGAGCACAGGUUUACCUGUGUGACUGCGUACCUUUUGUAUAAUGGGUCAGCGACUUAUAUUCUGUAGCAAGGUUAACCGCAUAGGGGAGCCGAAGGGAAACCGAGUCUUAAUUGGGCGUUAAGUUGCAGGGUAUAGACCCGAAACCCGGUGAUCUAGCCAUGGGCAGGUUGAAGGUUGGGUAACACUAACUGGAGGACCGAACCGACUAAUGUUGAAAAAUUAGCGGAUGACCUGUGGCUGGGGGUGAAAGGCCAAUCAAACCGGGAGAUAGCUGGUUCUCCCCGAAAGCUAUUUAGGUAGCGCCUCGUGAACUCAUCUCCGGGGGUAGAGCACUGUUUCGGCUAGGGGGCCAUCCCGGCUUACCAACCCGAUGCAAACUGCGAAUACCGGAGAAUGUUAUCACGGGAGACACACGGCGGGUGCUAACGUCCGUCGUGAAGAGGGAAACAACCCAGACCGCCAGCUAAGGUCCCAAAGUCAUGGUUAAGUGGGAAACGAUGUGGGAAGGCCCAGACAGCCAGGAUGUUGGCUUAGAAGCAGCCAUCAUUUAAAGAAAGCGUAAUAGCUCACUGGUCGAGUCGGCCUGCGCGGAAGAUGUAACGGGGCUAAACCAUGCACCGAAGCUGCGGCAGCGACGCUUAUGCGUUGUUGGGUAGGGGAGCGUUCUGUAAGCCGUUGAAGGUGGCCUGUGAGGGUUGCUGGAGGUAUCAGAAGUGCGAAUGCUGACAUAAGUAACGAUAAAGCGGGUGAAAAGCCCGCUCGCCGGAAGACCAAGGGUUCCUGUCCAACGUUAAUCGGGGCAGGGUGAGUCGACCCCUAAGGCGAGGCCGAAAGGCGUAGUCGAUGGGAAACGGGUUAAUAUUCCCGUACUUGGUGUUACUGCGAAGGGGGGACGGAGAAGGCUAUGUUGGCCGGGCGACGGUUGUCCCGGUUUAAGCGUGUAGGCUGACUUUCCAGGCAAAUCCGGAGAGUCAAGGCUGAGGCGUGACGACGAGGCACCACGGUGCUGAAGCAACAAAUGCCCUGCUUCCAGGAAAAGCCUCUAAGCAUCAGGUAACAUCAAAUCGUACCCCAAACCGACACAGGUGGUCAGGUAGAGAAUACCAAGGCGCUUGAGAGAACUCGGGUGAAGGAACUAGGCAAAAUGGUGCCGUAACUUCGGGAGAAGGCACGCUGACAUGUAGGUGAAGUGGUUUACCCAUGGAGCUGAAGUCAGUCGAAGAUACCAGCUGGCUGCAACUGUUUAUUAAAAACACAGCACUGUGCAAACACGAAAGUGGACGUAUACGGUGUGACGCCUGCCCGGUGCCGGAAGGUUAAUUGAUGGGGUCAGCGCAAGCGAAGCUCCUGAUCGAAGCCCCGGUAAACGGCGGCCGUAACUAUAACGGUCCUAAGGUAGCGAAAUUCCUUGUCGGGUAAGUUCCGACCUGCACGAAUGGCGUAAUGAUGGCCAGGCUGUCUCCACCCGAGACUCAGUGAAAUUGAACUCGCUGUGAAGAUGCAGUGUACCCGCGGCAAGACGGAAAGACCCCGUGAACCUUUACUAUAGCUUGACACUGAACAUUGAGCCUUGAUGUGUAGGAUAGGUGGGAGGCUUUGAAGCGUGGACGCCAGUCUGCGUGGAGCCGGCCUUGAAAUACCACCCUUUAAUGUUUGAUGUUCUAACGUGGACCCGUGAUCCGGGUUGCGGACAGUGUCUGGUGGGUAGUUUGACUGGGGCGGUCUCCUCCUAAAGAGUAACGGAGGAGCACGAAGGUUGGCUAAUCCUGGUCGGACAUCAGGAGGUUAGUGCAAUGGCAUAAGCCAGCUUGACUGCGAGCGUGACGGCGCGAGCAGGUGCGAAAGCAGGUCAUAGUGAUCCGGUGGUUCUGAAUGGAAGGGCCAUCGCUCAACGGAUAAAAGGUACUCCGGGGAUAACAGGCUGAUACCGCCCAAGAGUUCAUAUCGACGGCGGUGUUUGGCACCUCGAUGUCGGCUCAUCACAUCCUGGGGCUGAAGUAGGUCCCAAGGGUAUGGCUGUUCGCCAUUUAAAGUGGUACGCGAGCUGGGUUUAGAACGUCGUGAGACAGUUCGGUCCCUAUCUGCCGUGGGCGCUGGAGAACUGAGGGGGGCUGCUCCUAGUACGAGAGGACCGGAGUGGACGCAUCACUGGUGUUCGGGUUGUCAUGCCAAUGGCACUGCCCGGUAGCUAAAUGCGGAAGAGAUAAGUGCUGAAAGCAUCUAAGCACGAAACUUGCCCCGAGAUGAGUUCUCCCUGAGACUUAGAGUCUCCUGAAGGAACGUUGAAGACGACGACGUUGAUAGGCCGGGUGUGUAAGCGCAGCGAUGCGUUGAGCUAACCGGUACUAAUGAACCGUGAGGCUUAACCUUACAACGCCGAAGCUGUU